rnacentral:rRNA from 1 species
UGGGGAAUAUUGCACAAUGGGCGAAAGCCUGAUGCAGCAACGCCGCGUGAGUGAUGAAGGCCUUCGGGUUGUAAAGCUCUGUCUUUUGGGACGAUAAUGACGGUACCAAAGGAGGAAGCCACGGCUAACUACGUGCCAGCAGCCGCGGUAAUACGUAGGUGGCAAGCGUUGUCCGGAAUUACUGGGCGUAACGAAUGCGUAGGUGGAUAUGCAAGUCAGAUGUGAAAUACCCGGGCUCAACUUGGGUGCUGCAUUUGAAACUAUAUAUCUAGAGUGCAGGAGAGGAAAGCGGAAUUCCUAGUGUAGCGGUGAAAUGCGUAGAGAUUAGGAAGAACACCAGUGGCGAAGGCGGCUUUCUGGACUGUAACUGACACUGAGGCAUGAAAGCGUGGGGA